UACGAAGGGGGCUAGCGUUGCUCGGAAUCACUGGGCGUAAAGGGCGCGUAGGCGGCCAUUCAAGUCGGGGGUGAAAGCCUGUGGCUCAACCACAGAAUUGCCUUCGAUACUGUUUGGCUUGAGUAUGGUAGAGGUUGGUGGAACUGCGAGUGUAGAGGUGAAAUUCGUGGAUAUUCGCAAGAACACCAGUGGCGAAGGCGGCCAACUGGACCAUUACUGACGCUGAGGCGCGAAAGCGUGGGGAGCAAACAGG
rnacentral:rRNA from 1 species